rnacentral:misc_RNA from 1 species
GAUGAAGAACGCAGCGAAAUGCGAUAAGUAAUGUGAAUUGCAGAAUUCAGUGAAUCAUCGAAUCUUUGAACGCACCUUGCGCUCCUUGGUAUUCCGAGGAGCAUGCCUGUUUGAGUGUCAUUAAAUUCUCAACCUCACCAACUUUGUUGUGUGAAGGCUUGGAUGUGGGGGUUGCAGGUCCGCACUCGUGUGGUCUGCUCCUCUAAAACGUAUUAGUGGGUUAGUCCCCUAAUCUAUUGGUGUGAUAAUUAUCUACGCCGUGGGUUUGGAAGGCUAUCAUAGACCUGCUUCUAACCGUCCUCUGGACAACUUUGACAAUUUUGACCUCAAAUCAGGUAAGACUACCCGCUGAACUUAAGCAUAUCAAUAAGCGGAGGA